GACUGCGGAGGAUCAUUAUCGAAUAAACUUGAUCAGGUUGUUGCUGGCCUUUUCGAAGGCAUGUGCACGCUUGUCAUCUUUAUUUCUCCAACUGUGCACAUGUUGUAGACCAUGGAUGUCGUUGCUUAAUAGCAGAUUUGAGAAGUGCUUUAGCUUUCUCUUAUGAGGUCUAUGUUAUCCAUCUUUUACACACUGUUUUAGAAUGUUUAUUAUGGAAAUG
rnacentral:misc_RNA from 1 species